GACGAACGCUGGCGGCGUGCUUAACACAUGCAAGUCGAACGAAGUGGCGAACGGGUGAGUAACGCGUAAUCAACCUGCCCUUCAGAGGGGGACAACAGUUGGAAACGACUGCUAAUACCGCAUACUGAAGGAGGGGAUUGCGUCUGAUUAGCUAGUUGGAGGGGUAACGGCCCACCAAGGCGAUGAUCAGUAGCCGGUCUGAGGGGGGUGACGGGCACAAUGGGACGGAGGCAAGGCCCAGACUCCGACGGGAGGCAGCAGUGGGGAAGCUUCCGCAAUGGACGAAAGACUGACGGAGCAACGCCGCGUGAGUGAUAACGGCCUUCGGGUUGUAAAGCUCUGUUAAUCGGGACGCGGUACCGGAAUAGAAAGCCACGGCUAACUACGUGCCAGCAGCCGCGGUAAUAC
rnacentral:rRNA from 1 species